GUUGGUUAUGGGGAUAUAACACCAAAAACAUAUAUAGGCAUGACAAUAGGUGCAUUUUGUGCAUUAGCGGGAGUACUGUGUUUAGCUCUACCUGUACCAGUAAUUGUGAAUAAU
rfam:Intoshia linei isolate Intl2013 Contig_10480, whole genome shotgun sequence.